GUCGAACGAAGCACCUUAUUCUGAUUUCUUCGGAAUGAAAAAUUUGGUGACUGAGUGGCGGACGGGUGAGUAACGCGUGGGUAACCUGCCUCAUACAGGGGGAUAACAGUUAGAAAUGACUGCUAAUACCGCAUAAGACCACAGCACCGCAUGGUGCAGGGGUAAAAACUCCGGUGGUAUGAGAUGGACCCGCGUCUGAUUAGGUAGUUGGUGGGGUAACGGCCUACCAAGCCGACGAUCAGUAGCCGACCUGAGAGGGUGACCGGCCACAUUGGGACUGAGACACGGCCCAAACUCCUACGGGAGGCAGCAGUGGGGAAUAUUGCACAGUGGGGGAAACCCUGAUGCAGCGACGCCGCGUGAGCGAUGAAGUAUUUCGGUAUGUAAAGCUCUAUCAGCAGGGAAGAAAAUGACGGUACCUGACUAAGAAGCACCGGCUAAAUACGUGCCAGCAGCCGCGGUAAUACGUAUGGUGCAAGCGUUAUCCGGAUUUACUGGGUGUAAAGGGAGCGUAGACGGAGUGGCAAGUCUGAUGUGAAAACCCGGGGCUCAACCCCGGGACUGCAUUGGAAACUGUCAAUCUAGAGUACCGGAGAGGUAAGCGGAAUUCCUAGUGUAGCGGUGAAAUGCGUAGAUAUUAGGAGGAACACCAGUGGCGAAGGCGGCUUACUGGACGGUAACUGACGUUGAGGCUCGAAAGCGUGGGGAGCAAACAGGAUUAGAUACCCUGGUAGUCCACGCCGUAAACGAUGACUACUAGGUGUCGGGCAGCAAAGCUGUUCGGUGCCGCAGCAAACGCAAUAAGUAGUCCACCUGGGGAGUACGUUCGCAAGAAUGAAACUCAAAGG
rnacentral:rRNA from 1 species